rnacentral:rRNA from 1 species
UUGAACGCUGGCGGCAGGCCUAACACAUGCAAGUCGAGCGGUAACAGGGGUAGCUUGCUACCUGCUGACGAGCGGCGGACGGGUGAGUAACGCGUGGGAACAUGCCCGGUAGAGGGGGAUAGCCCGAGGAAACUCGGAUUAAUACCGCAUACGCCCUGAGGGGGAAAGGUGGCCUCUAUUUAUAAGCUACCGCUAUCGGAGUGGCCCGCGUGAGAUUAGCUAGUUGGUGGGGUAAAGGCCUACCAAGGCGACGAUCUCUAGCUGGUCUGAGAGGAUGAUCAGCCACACUGGAACUGA